GACGAACGCUGGCGGCGUGCUUAACACAUGCAAGUCGAACGGAAAGGCCCUGCUUUUGUGGGGUGCUCGAGUGGCGAACGGGUGAGUAACACGUGAGUAACCUGCCCUUGACUUUGGGAUAACUUCAGGAAACUGGGGCUAAUACCGGAUAGGAGCUCCUGCUGCAUGGUGGGGGUUGGAAAGUUUCGGCGGUUGGGGAUGGACUCGCGGCUUAUCAGCUUGUUGGUGGGGUAGUGGCUUACCAAGGCUUUGACGGGUAGCCGGCCUGAGAGGGUGACCGGCCACAUUGGGACUGAGAUACGGCCCAGCCUCCUACGGGAGGCAGCAGUGGGGAAUAUUGCACAAUGGGCGGAAGCCUGAUGCAGCAACGCCGCGUGCGGGAUGACGGCCUUCGGGUUGUAACCCGCUUUCGCCUGUGACGAAGCGUGAGUGACGGUAAUGGGUAAAGAAGCACCGGCUAACUACGUG
rnacentral:rRNA from 1 species